UUAAGAGACCAAUCGGACACUGACCAUGCACCACUUAACCAAUCAGGGACUGAUCGUGCAUUGCCUGGACCAGAGCUCAGUGGUGCGAGUGACCAUGCAUAAAGCAUUGUGACCAAGAGGGGGCUAUCAUGGUCGGAGGCAGAGGGAAGACAAGAUGCCUCAGGACUCGUGGGCAGCCGCACAAUCACUUGCAAAAAAAACUAAGGCCUUGAAGUAGCAACAGACAGUAGGCCAGACUUCCUGUGGCGAAACAAUUAUGUGAAGGAGGUUCACAUGAGAAAACAAAUUAUAUGGACCUAGUCCACUGGGACAUGGACCAAUCACAGACUGAUCACACACCCUGGAGGCCAACAUGGACCAAUCGAAGACUGAUCACGCUCCCUGAAGACCAAUUGAGUGACUCAGGAGGAUCAGGCAUGAGGGCAGUUGCUGCGCAGCCAAAAUAUGAAGUCAAUAUGGCAUUGCCAAGAGUGAGAUCGCUGGAAGUGAAUUGGUCUGAG